rfam:Anopheles epiroticus strain epiroticus2 unplaced genomic scaffold supercont1.952, whole genome shotgun sequence.
CAGAGGUGUAGUUCUGUAAAAGGGUUGGAUCCGACGCCUUUUGGAGGCUACUAUAGGCUCUCCUUCCCAACUCCUACUCAAUACGUCCACGUCGUGCAGAACGGUAACUUGUCGC